rnacentral:rRNA from 1 species
GACGAACGCUGGCGGCGUGCUUAACACAUGCAAGUCGAACGGAAAGGCCCCUUCGGGGGUGCUCGAGUGGCGAACGGGUGAGUAACACGUGGGUGAUCUGCCCUGCACUUUGGGAUAAGCCUGGGAAACUGGGUCUAAUACCGGAUAGGACUACGGGAUGCAUGUCCUGUGGUGGAAAGCUUUUGCGGUGUGGGAUGGGCCCGCGGCCUAUCAGCUUGUUGGUGGGGUGAUGGCCUACCAAGGCGACGACGGGUAGCCGGCCUGAGAGGGUGUCCGGCCACGCUGGGACUGAGAUACGGGCCAGACUCCUACGGGAGGCAGCAGUGGGGAAUAUUGGACAAUGGGCGGAAGCCUGAUCCAGCAACGCCGCGUGAGGGAUGACGGCCUUCGGGUUGUAAACCUCUUUCAGCACCGACGAAGCGAUCCUUUUGGGGAGUGACGGUAGGUGCAGAAGAAGGACCGGCCAACUACGUGCCAGCCGCCGCAGAAAGAC